rnacentral:misc_RNA from 1 species
GUUUGAUCCAAGGAAGAAUCUGAAAAAUCAUAAUAAUAAAAACACUUGUGAGACGGGCAUUGACAACAAGAUGGUAGAGAAGAGCUACUUGCCUUGAGUUCCCACAACAAAAGUUGAGCUAUUCACUAAAAAAGAAGGCUCAAUCUCAUAAAGAACCACAGUAUAAACUACAAAAAUUUCAUCCUAAUUAUAAUCGAUAGUGCUAGCAAGAUAAAAUCCCUGUUUUUAAGAAAAGAAUCAUUUUAAGGCAGUUGAAGAAAACAAUUUAGAAAAAACUAUUUUGUUAUUUUGGAGUUUUUAUAACUAAAAC